rnacentral:lncRNA from 1 species
GGUUUGGUGACGAACUAUUUCGGGCCUCGCCCAGGCGGCACAAAACGCUAAUCUGCACACCAUGCGCCAUAUGAAGUUUCCUGUUAAAUUUUUGGUGCCUCGAAGCUACUGGCAUGGUGGCGCCCACCCACACUUCCGAAUCAUUGAGUCGGGCACGCGUCAAAUGUACCACCUCAUUUGUAGGGACCAAGACAUGUAUCAUGAUGCUCAGUAAUCUAUUUGCACGGUACUUGUUCUUCCAGUUUUAUUAUAAAGAUAGUUGAAGGGUCUUUG